UGAGUAAUCUGCCCUCCACUUUGGGAUAGCCACCGGAAACGGUGAUUAAUACCGGAUAUGGCCUCGGCCCGCAUGGGUUGUGGUGGAAAGUUUUUCGGUGGGGGAUGUGCUCGCGGCCUAUCAGCUUGAUGGUGGGGUAAUGGCCUACCAUGGCUUCGACGGGUAGCCGGCCUGAGAGGGUGACCGGCCACACUGGGACUGAGACACGGCCCAGACUCCUACGGUAG
rnacentral:rRNA from 1 species